CAGUCGCCGCGGUAACACGGAGGGUGCAAGCGUUAAUCGGAAUUACUGGGCGUAAAGCGUGCGCAGGCGGUUAUGCAAGACAGAUGUGAGAUCCUCGGGCUCAACCUGGGAACUGCAUUUGUGACUGCAUGACUAGAGUACGGCAGAGGGGGAUGGAAUUCCGCGUGUAGCAGUGAAAUGCGUAGAUAUGCGGAGGAACACCGAUGGCGAAGGCAAUCCCCUGGGCCUGUACUGACGCUCAUGCACGAAAGCGUGGGGAGCAAACAGGAUUAGAUACCCGCGUAGUCCCUGUCUCUUAUAA
rnacentral:rRNA from 1 species